rnacentral:lncRNA from 1 species
AAACAAAAGGGGUCCUUUCCACUCCUGCCCGCUUCCAGCUCCCUCCCUCCCCUCCAUCACUACUAGGUCCGGAGGGUCAGGUCUUGGAGGCGGAAUCCUGGAGUGCAAACCCUCUUCGGCUGAAGAAAGUUCUGCUAUUUUUAAGCGGGUGAAGCCUGCCCCGGUGUCAGGGGCGCCCCGAGCCCCUUCUGAGGCUGGAGGGCAACGUGGACGGAGCUGCAGGGCAGCCUCCAGAAUCCAAGGCUUAGAUCCGCCUGGAGAGGAUGCUGGGGUGCAGCCGCUGAAUGCCACAACGGGGGGCCAGCAGAGUGCUCCCCCCACCCCCACCCCUAUGGGUGCUCCGGGUUCAGGCGGACCGGCAGUUCUCCAGCUGGGCUAGGAGCAAAGCCUGCUAGGGCAGCGGCCACAGCCCAGCUGAGAGCAUGCCUUGCAUCCCACCCCCUUCUCUCACCUUGGGGGAGGGGGGCUUUCUCCCUGGGGACGCAGAGGGGCCUUGCCCUGCACACAGCCACCUGCACCUGGAGACCUGGGGAGCAAGGGUAAAGAGGCCGCUGGACAUCAUCCAAACUCUCGGAGAAGAACGUCCUUGCCUUCCUGCUUCAGCUCACUAAGUCACAUAUGCGUCUCUUCAGCUCCCUGGUUAAGGAUGGAAGUGCCUGGAUAGAGACUGACAUUGUGCACUUUGCGGAAUUUAUUUAUUUAUUCAUGAGAGACAUGGAGAGAGAGAGGCAGAGACACAGGCAGAGGGAGAAGCAGGCUCCAUGCAGGGGCCCGACGUGGGACUGGAUCCCAGGACUCCGGGAUCACGACCUGGGCUGAAGGCAGGCGCUCAACCGCUGAGCCACUCAGGUAUCCCAACUCAGAGACUUUCUGUGGCCGGGUCAGAGUCCCUUACCUUUCGUAAAGCAUCCACUUGGACACAAAAAGGAAGGUUCCAUGUGAUUUUGUGAACUGAAGAAAGCCACAGGUUGGGAGCAACUGGGACUCAACUCAUUCAAAAAGGAUAUCAGGGAGCAUUUGCAGGCUGCAGGUAGACCCAAACCCUCCUGACAUGCUCCGGACUUAGCCUCCCUAUGCCAGACCCAACCACGGCUGUGUAUCCUGCUUGAAAACAAAAACACAGAGACAAAGAUGUUCAGUCAAACCAACAUUUACUCAAGGGUUAGAAACCUGGAGAUCUACUGUGUUGGUCGGGAAGCC